rnacentral:rRNA from 1 species
UACGAAGGGGGCUAGCGUUGCUCGGAAUCACUGGGCGUAAAGCGCACGUAGGCGGCUUUUUAAGUCAGGGGUGAAAUCCUGGAGCUCAACUCCAGAACUGCCUUUGAUACUGAGAAGCUUGAGUCCGGGAGAGGUGAGUGGAACUGCGAGUGUAGAGGUGAAAUUCGUAGAUAUUCGCAAGAAGACCAGUGGCGAAGGCGGCUCAGUGGCGCGGUACUGACGCUGAGGUGCGAAAGCGUGGGGAGCAAGCAGG